CUCAUCUUGAGGAAUUUGUGUUCAUAGAAACUGGACGGGACACAGCAGUAGGUACACCUACUAGUACACAGUCUGAGUUGCAAGAAGCAUGAGGAAAAUAAAGUCUUAGUAAUUAAGUUGAACCAGUCUGGAACACUAAUCAGUAAAAAAAAGCUCCUCAAUCAACAACUUUACUCAGAUCUGCACCAACAUUUCAUAGUUUCCUAUGGACCCCUCUACAAAAUUUCUACUAAAUAUCGUAAAACUGGAAUAUAACAGAGCAUUUCUUCCUUGAAAAAUAUGUCUGAAAAAGAUGAGUCAAAUUAUAUUUGAGGUUUCGAGAUUUAUACAUGCAAACCCACAAGUGGGGUCGAAGGACUUCUCCCCAAGUGAAUCUGAGCUUUUCUUCCUGUCACUCACACAUCAGUGACUGGUUUGAAAAAGAGGGGUCGUCUUGUAUUCAGGUCAAUACAAUACUUGAUAUGUAAUCCUACUAACUAAAUAUUAGGGAUGCACAAUAUGUUUUUUUUUUUCAAGCCGGUACCAAUACCAAUAGAAUCCUGCUUUUCCAGACCGAUAUCGGUACGAAUAACUUUUUAUACAGUAUCUUUUUUUGUUGUUGUUGUUCAAUUUUACUGUAGUUUGUGCACACCUGGAGGCUCAGAUAAAAUUGGAUUUGACAAACUGUCCCAGAUAGCAAGCAUAGCAGCAUUGAAACAAUGUUGAUUGUUGUUGAUUUUUCCAUCAGAAUCGUCAGAAUGGUUAACACUGAAAUUUCCAUACAAAACAGAUGUUGAAUCAACGCCGGUAAUGAAAUUUGACAUGUUUAUAGCAGUGACAUUGAAACAAAGUUGAUACAUAGUUGAGAGGAAAGAUGAUUGAUAAAUCAUGGAUUUAGAGUUGAUCUUUAGACCAUCUCGUGGUUGACCAGCGCACCUGCACCCCAUAAUUAAAUUGGGAAAUUUAGCAGCUGCAGUUCCUGUUCCUGUUACACACUUGCGGUGGCGGUAAUGCAAAGAAGAAGAAGAAGAAGAAGAAGAAGGGAAGAUGGUCGAAUGGAUGUGUUUGACUUUGUACAUCUCCGCCAAUAUAGAACAGAAUCAGGUAUGUAUUUGUUUUUAAGUGAUGUGUACCACUGGACUUAACAAAAUGGGUCUGUUAAAAUCAGUUGUAAUAACGUAACAGCUCAAACCAUGAUGCCAUAUCUCUAUUUGAACAAGCGACAAUUGCUAAUGUUACAAAAUAGUUGUGUUUAAACAUUGAUUUGGGGGGUAAACAAAAUAUAGUCUUAGGUAGGUUCAUCUUUUGCAAAUACCGCCAUGAAUGAACUGUUCAAUAUUUAUAUCUACUUUCAGAUGAAUCAACACCACUCAGCCACGCCAACAGUCACCCUGAUACGUGUCGUCAAACCCCGGUUUGCCACCCAGGAUCGGAAAGGUCUUACACAUCUCCGGACCCGGUCCAAGCAUUGACUCAUAGGAAGGUGUCUCAUCUGUGGCCAAGAUUGAGAGAAAUGCCCUCAGCCAACAGCUUGGCACUGCGAUGAAUGAUGAUACGUUUGCUCAAGCAGUGAAAAAGUGGCUCCGUUAUAAGUCAGACCGGACAGGAAGGUUUAGCCAUGGCAGUGAAUGAAAUGAAAUAAAACCUGUUUGAUUUGCAUUAUAAAAGUGUGUGUGUGUUUGUGUAUGAGAUAAAACUAUCUAUCUUUUAAGCCUAAGACAGCAUGACUGUAGAUAAAGCAGGAUUUUAAUGAAAUGUUGGCAUUGAACAGCAAUAAAUGAGCCCUUUUCUUCUGCUGUUAUCGUCAUUGAAAUAUUGAAACCACAUUGAUUUUUAGUUACGUUAAAAUUCAACAUUGCUAAAUCAACAUUGAAGUCCAACACUGAAUCAAUAAUCUAAAGUUAAAAAUUCAACGUAGACUCUAAAUUGUUUCAAUUUCCCCUUGCUAUCUGGGGUACUUGCAUAUUUUUCCUUACCAAAUAUCAUGGCAUCACUGCGAAAUAAUAUAACAAAACAUCAAAGAAAUAGCGGCAGCUCAGAAGUACAAACCACAGCUUCAAGGGGUUUACUAGCCAGUUUACUGGCCGUUACUUAGAUGGUAACGAGCUAAUCUAGCGCCAUUGUUUCCAUGAUGAAAUCACAGAUCUCUUUAGCCCUCAGGUUGUCUCUUUUUUGCAUUUUUCAAACUCUGCGGAUAGGAACAAGCCCUGGGCAUCGUAAUUAGCAAUGCUAGUGUUUCAGGUGGAUGAAUAGGUUUGAUGUGUUACAGCUUGAUGUUUUUUUCCCUCAUCAUUUGCAGAGCACUUGGUGCAACUACCACAUGAAAUGUCUUCCUCAACACUGCAAAAACAGUCAUCCUUAAAAGAAGCCCAAAUUAUAUUAAAAUAAGACAACAAAAAAAUUCUGCCAAUGGGGUAAGCAAAAUUGGCUUGGCUAGAACUCUUAUAACUACAAUAUUUUUCUUGUGACUUUUAAGAGUUGUUCUUAAUCACAUACUGUAGCUAGAGUCAAAUGUUCUUAUUACGAGGUAAGAAAUAAGCCAAAUGCUCUUAUAAAAUUCGUCAAUUCGGAUAAAAUUUGCUUUAAGAGGCUAGAUUUAGGCAAGAUAUUCUAUAUGUAGGAGUAUUAUUCUAUUUUCUUACAAUUUCUAGACUCUCCAAUUCAUCUAUCAUGCAUAUGGAAGGAAGCCGGUACACAAGGGGGAGCGUGUGAGUUCCACACAGAUGUGUUCCAAUGGGGAUUUGAAUGCGGGUUGCCCAAUUGUAGGGCUAACAUACAAACCAUGCAGUUAACACCUUUCCUUGUCGGCAUGAUAGUUAUGUUGGUUACUUCUUUUCAACAAGCAGGAAGCAAAUUAUUUGGAUGGAACUUUUUUUUAUUUAAAAAGAGUGUGAUUGUACCUAAGAUUCACUUAAUUUGGGAAAACCUAUUGUCAUAAAAACUUUCAGAAUUCUUUUUUGGCAUCAUUUACAUGUAAAGUCACUAGUCUUUACAUUUAUAAACUACAUAAA